UCUAGUCCCAUCGCCUCCUUACAGUUGGGGGACCUGAAGUUCAAAGCCUUCAAGUGACUUGCGAGAGGUCAAAGGCCACAUUAGAGCCAGAGUUCACUUCUAAAUAUGAGGAAGACUGUCAAGAUAUUAAUAAAGCUGCGAUGCGUAUCAGCGUGGCCAUGGAAUCAGAAGACGUUAUUCCGCUCAAGUCAAAGAGGCGGGAAAGGAUAAUCACAAAAAAGGAACACAAUUUGUUUAAAGCAAAAAUAUGAAAACCACAGUAAGGAAAAAGGGGGGCUGCAGUCAGUUCAGCAUCUAGACCCCAAAAGCAAAUCUGUUGAUGGUCCCCACAUUAGUCAACAAGGUUUAAGGCAAUUCACUGUCGUGGAAGCAAUAUACGGUUUCUUGCCAGACAGGAUUUAGGAUUCCCAGUCCCCGACAACUUUUUUGCACCAUCUUCUGUAAAAAAAACAGAAAAAAAAAAAAAACCCACCCCAACAAACAAACAAAACCCAACAACAACAACAACCUUUAUGUCACUUGAAUUUGCACUUGACUUAUUUGCCUACAAACUGGAAACUUCACCUCAUGAUAAAGACGUGAGUCAGAGCUAGAAAAUGCCAAAAACGGCGUGCAGAACAGAACAUUCUGGAAAGGUGGGCUUGGGGCUUGAGCAGGGGCUCUUUCCUGGUCGUGGAAGCUUUCUGUGGUGUCUCCAUGGUUGAGAGGACGGGGUCUCUGUGUCUGAAUGAGGGUCAGCCGCGCAGCCUGCUCGAAGGCUUGCCUCCACCUCUGUCAGAAAUCCUCCAGUGGCCAAAACAAGGUGCCCAGUGUGACUGAGCAAUGAGAAAAAUAGACAUUUCUAUUCUGAAGCUGCCUGCUAAUUAUUCCAGGGACAUUCUUCCUGUCAAUCUUUUAUUAAUUAUCCAGGGAAGUGAUUCUGUAAAGCAACACACAGUGAAAUGAUUCAUCUGACAUAACUUCCUUCCUUUUCCGUCCAACUGAAAGAGGUCCAGAAGCCUCAGCUAGGCAUGGAGGGGAGAGAAAACGAAACCGAAUGUCCUCCAAGCACACAGCCGUGUCCUGAGCUGAGAUCCCCAGCCGCAGCCCUGGCGGGAGCUCACACACCAACACACCAGACAAGGUGAGGAAACGGAGUAUGAAAUCUUGCCUAAGAUUGCACCGCUAUCAAGCAGCCGAGUGUGGACUGAAACUCAGGAGGUUGGACCCCAAAGUCCUCCCUCUGAAUCACAGUCACCAAGCCCAGUGCACCAUCCCAGCCCAUGGGGGGGUGUGGACUUUGGAGAAAGAGAAGUGAAGGGCGAGGAAAUCUUCUUCUGGAUAUGCAAGCCUUAUGUGAAGGGUAAAAGUCCUCCUUCCACUUU